UGGAGUGUGGCUCAGAGGUAAAGCGCUUGUCUGGUGUGCAGGAGGGCCUGGGUUGGAUCCUCAGCACUGCAG
rfam:Fukomys damarensis contig111202, whole genome shotgun sequence.